AGAGUUUGAUCCUGGCUCAGGACGAACGCUGGCGGCGCGCUUAACACAUGCAAGUCGAGCGAGAACCUGGGCUUCGGCCCUGGGGACAGCGGCGAACGGGUGGGUAACACGUGGGUAAUCUGCCCUUGACAUCGGGAUAGCCCGGGGAAACCCGGAUUAAUACCGAAUAGCCUCCGGAGCCUUCGGGCGCCGGAGAAAAGGUAGCUUCGGCCUCUGGUCAAGGAUGAGCCCGCGGCGGAUUAGCUUGUUGGCGGGGUAACGGCCCACCAAGGCGACGAUCCGUAGCUGGUCUGAGAGGACGAUCAGCCACACUGGGACUGAGACACGGCCCAGACUCCUACGGGAGGCAGCAGUGGGGAAUCUUGCGCUAAUGCGGGAAACCGUGACGCAGCGACGCCGCGUGGGGGAAGAAGGCCUUCGGGUUGUAAA
rnacentral:rRNA from 1 species